rnacentral:rRNA from 1 species
GACGAACGCUGGCGGCGUGCUUAACACAUGCAGGUCGAACGGAAAGGCCCUGCUUUUGUGGGGUGCUCGAGUGGCGAACGGGUGAGUAACACGUGAGUAACCUGCCCUUGACUUUGGGAUAACUUCAGGAAACUGGGGCUAAUACCGGAUAGGAGCUCCUGCUGCAUGGUGGGGGUUGGAAAGUUUCGGCGGUUGGGGAUGGACUCGCGGCUUAUCAGCUUGUUGGUGGGGUAGUGGCUUACCAAGGCUUUGACGGGUAGCCGGCCUGAGAGGGUGACCGGCCACAUUGGGACUGAGAUACGGCCCAGACUCCUACGGGAGGCAGCAGUGGGGAAUAUUGCACAAUGGGCGGAAGCCUGAUGCAGCAACGCCGCGUGCGGGAUGACGGCCUUCGGGUUGCAAACCGCUUUCGCCUGUGACGAAGCGUGAGUGACGGUAAUGGGUAAAGAAGCACCGGCUAACUACGUG